rnacentral:lncRNA from 1 species
CCAGGAUCUGGUGAGGGGUAAGGAGGAGGUAAGAUUCUGCUGCUUCUCUUGAAUCUUUCUUUCUCCCAAAUCUUUAUAUUUUUUUCUAGCUUUUCUUCCCAGCAGAUACUCUCUUUCAUCCCCUUCUUCAUAUCAUACCUGUACUGAUAUUCUGAUAGUUUUAUCAUCCUAUCUUUCUUGCCCCAAAUCUAGAACAUCCAGAAAGUGUUUGACAAAAAUCAAAUUAAUCAAACAUAGAAGAUGUAACACCAUGAGGUUGGUAAAUGUGUAGCCACAAUAAUCACUGCUCUGGGGGACCAUAUAUUUCUAUACCCAGGGCAUUGUUCAAAAUGCUGAGCACCUAACAAGAAAAACAAUCUUACUAUUUUAAAGUAGCAGUUGCAAAUCCCAAUGAUUUAUUCAAAAAAGGCUCAACAGCUAUCAGACACUAAAAAGGCACAUUUGACAAAAUUUAACACUUAUGCUUGAUUUUUAAAAUAUGCACUAUAAUGGGAAUCAUGGAUAAAAUACAGUUUAUGUCUCUCACUCCCCAAAACCAGCUUUGCACUUAACAGAGAAAUUCUGGAGAUGGUCCUAGUAGUCACUGUUAAGACAGGGAUGCCCACUGUCACUAUUAGUAUCUCAAAUUGUCCUAGAAGGAUUAGCCAAAGCAAUGAGGCAAAGGAAGUAAGGAAGCAAAAGUCUGGCUAUAUUCAGAUCAAACCAAGAGAAACCCAAGGGAAUGUCAUGAUAAGCUAUUUCAAACAAAAACAGAAUUCAGUGGGAAGUAAGAUAUAAAAAAUAAUACAAAGAAAUUGAUAGACUUCUUUUUUUUCUUCUUUAAGAUAAGAGAGAGAGGAGAGAGAGAGAGAGAGAGAAUUCUUUAAUAUUUAUUUUUCAGUUUUCGG